CAAUAGCGUAUAUUAAAGUUGUUGCGGUAAAAAAGCUCGUAGUUGGAUUUCUGUUGAGAGCGACCGGUCCAUACCAUGUAUGCGUAUCUGGCUUGCUCUCGGCAUCCUCUCGAUAGACGUUACUGCGCUUGAUUGCGUGGUGCGGAUCUCGGGACUUUUACUUUGAGGAAAUUAGAGUGUUCACGGCAGGCUUUCGCCAGAAUACAUUAGCAUGGAAUAAUACUAUAGGAUCUUGGUUCUAUUUUGUUGGCUUCUAGAAUUGAGAUAAUGAUUAAUAGGGACAAUUGGGGGCAUUCGUAUCAACACGUCAGAGGUGGAAUUCUUGGAUUGUGUUGCGACGAACUACUGCGAAAGCAUUUGCCAAGGAUGUUUUCAUUGA
rnacentral:rRNA from 1 species